GAAUGACUCAAAUCAACUGUAGCAAGCGAUGAUGAUAGGGAAGAAAGCCGCUUAGCCUUAGUCUGACCCCGAAGCAAAUAGUCUAAUUUAUCAAGAAGCAGAACUAUCAUUUGUGCAUCCUCCAUAGCACUAAGACCAGGAUCCAUUAAUGCAGCAGCUUCAAAUCCAGUAAGGGCUCUCUCAUAAUUCUCCAGAUAUUUGUUCACAGUGGCACAACUGUAGUACAGAUCAGGAUUUGACUUCAUUUUUUCAUCUCUCUCAGCAUUCUGGUAUGCUUUUAAUGACUGUAGAAGCUUGCUGUGGUCCCAUGAUCCAGUCACAAAAAAAGAAAUGAGAAAUGCAUUUCCUAGGUUAUACCAAGAAUAUCCAUCCUUGACAUCCAAAGCGAUUGCUUCCCUGGCAUGUUUGAUGCUUUCAUCAACAAUUUCUUCUGGAUUUUCAGCAUCAUGAGACAGUUUCCUUUCAAGCAUUGAUAGUUGACAUAGAAUCUUCUUAUUUGGACCCUUGCCAAGAGCAAACAUAAAGCAGUUUUUAGCUGCA
rnacentral:misc_RNA from 1 species